rnacentral:rRNA from 1 species
UACGUAGGGUGCGAGCGUUGUCCGGAGUACUGGGCGUAAAGCGCACGCAGGCGGUCUGCUAAGUUUGGAGUGACAGUUGGUGGCUUAACUGCCAAAGUGCUUCGAAAACUGACAGACUUGAGGGCUUACAGAGGGACGACGGAAUUCCGGGUGGAGUGGAGUGAAAUGGAUCCGGUAAGGAGGAUCCGGAAGGAACACCCAAAGGCGAAGGCAGGUGGUCCCUGGGGGAGGUAAGCCUGACG